rnacentral:rRNA from 1 species
GGAAGGAUCAUUGUCGAAUCCUGCACAGCAGAACGACCAGCGAACCCGUUCAACCACGCGGGGUCCGGGCUGGCGAGGCACGACCUCCCCCGUCCGUUCCCCCAAAGUCGGGGCGCGAGCCUCGCGAACAACGAAUCCCGGCGCGGAAUGCGCCAAGGAAAACAUAAUCGAGGGCCCGACCCCGCACCGUCCCGUUCGCGGAGCGCGGUGCGAGGAGACGGCUCCUUGCGGAAAUUUAAACGACUCUCGGCAACGGAUAUCUAGGCUCUCGCAUCGAUGAAGAACGUAGCGAAAUGCGAUACUUGGUGUGAAUUGCAGAAUCCCGUGAACCAUCGAGUUUUUGAACGCAAGUUGCGCCCGAUGCCGUCAGGCUGAGGGCACGUCUGCCUGGGCGUCACGCAUCGCGUCGCCCCCCACCCAUGUGCGGGGGCGGAUUGUGGCCUCCCGUGCCGAGAGGCGCGGCUGGCCGAAAUGCGAGUCCGGCCCGACGGAUUUCGCGACAAGUGGUGGUUGUUUUCUCAACUCGCGUGUUGUCGUGCAAUGCCCCGUCGCGGCCCGAGACUGAACGACCCUAGCGUGCUCGUCUCUCCCCUCGGGGGGAGCCCUGCGCUACGACCGCGACCCCAGGUCAGGCGGGAUUACCCGCUG